AGGGUUCGAUUAUGGCUCAGGAUGAACGCUAGCUACAGGCUUAACACAUGCAAGUCGAGGGGAAACGAUAUUGGAAGCUUGCUUCCGAUAGGCGUCGACCGGCGCACGGGUGAGUAACGCGUAUCCAACCUACCCUUGUCCAUCGGAUAACCCGUCGAAAGGCGGCCUAACACGAUAUGCGGUUCACAGCAGGCAUCUAACGUGAACGAAAUGUGAAGGAGAAGGAUGGGGAUGCGUCUGAUUAGCUUGUUGGCGGGGUAACGGCCCACCAAGGCGACGAUCAGUAGGGGUUCUGAGAGGAAGGUCCCCCACAUUGGAACUGAGACACGGUCCAA
rnacentral:rRNA from 1 species